AUUGAACGCUGGCGGCAGGCCUAACACAUGCAAGUCGAGCGGAUGACGGGAGCUUGCUCCUUGAUUCAGCGGCGGACGGGUGAGUAAUGCCUAGGAAUCUGCCUGGUAGUGGGGGACAACGUUCCGAAAGGGGCGCUAAUACCGCAUACGUCCUACGGGAGAAAGUGGGGGAUCUUCGGACCUCACGCUAUCAGAUGAGCCUAGGUCGGAUUAGCUAGUUGGUGAGGUAAAGGCUCACCAAGGCGACGAUCCGUAACUGGUCUGAGAGGGUGAGCAGUCAAACUGGAACUGAGACACGGUCCAGACUCCGACGGGCGGCAGCAGUGGGGAAUAUUGGACAAUGGGCGAAAGCCUGAUCCAGCCAUGCCGCGUGUGUGAAGAAGGUCUUCGGAUUGUAAAGCACUUUAAGUUGGGAGGAAGGGCAGUAAGUUAAUACCUUGCUGUUUUGACGUUACCGACAGAAUAAGCACCGGCUAACUCUGUGCCAGCAGCCGCCGUAAUAC
rnacentral:rRNA from 1 species